UUAAAAAGCUCGUAGUUGAAUUUCGGGGUUAGUAGGUUGGUCAUGCCUCUGGUAUGUACUGGUCUCACUGAUUCCUCCUUCCUGAUGAGCCGUAAUGCCAUUAAUUUGGUGUUGCGGGGAAUUUGGACUGUUACUUCGAAAAAAUUAGAGUGUUUAAAGCAAGCUAACGCUUGAAUACAUUAGCAUGGAAUAAUGAAAUAGGACGUUCGAUCCUAUUUUGUUGGUUUCUAGGAUUGACGUAAUGAUUAAUAGGGAUAGUUGGGGG
rnacentral:rRNA from 1 species